AAUGUAUACAAUGACGCAGUGUCAGGAAUUUCCCGUGGAAUGUUGUAAUUCGAUUCCGCCGCCAUUGUUACAGUAAACAUUACAAGAAAAAUGGGCUUUAGGUACAAAAUAAAGGACACUAAUGAGAAGUUUGUGCCUAUCUAGGGUAGAACAGUGCUCAUUCAAUGAUGAGCCCCACGUAUUGUGCCCAAUAUAAAAAAAAAUUGGACACAAACACAUUAGUAGGCACUAAAACCAUGACUUUUGUGCCUUUAAUGUCCGUCCAGCUUGCAUUUGGCCUUUCAGAAAUUUAUUAUUAAUUUGCAAAGACACGAUAAAUGCUUCCGUGCCCUUUAAUUUAAUAUAUUUAAAUAAAAAGGAGAUUUUCGUGUCCUUUACAUAUUUACUUUUCCAAUCCCACACCUCACUCUCUUCGCCUUUCCUUUCUCUCUCUAUGUCCCUCUCUCUCUCUCUCUCUUUCUCUCUCUCUCUCUCUCUCUCUUUCUCUCUCUCUCUCUCUCCUUCUCUUAUAGUGGAUGGAUCUUCCUUCUUCGUCUCAACACCACUCUCUCUCUCUCCUUCUCUUAUAGUGGAUGGAUCUUCCUUCUUCGUCUCAACGCUGCUUCCAUCAAUAGCUUGACCUCCACUUGCUUGACUAGCCGACGGCACACCAUCCAUACUUGACAUGAGCUUUUGUUGUGGUCACUCCGAGAGCGAUGGGUUGGUUUUUUCCAUUUUGUUAAUUGGUAAUUUUUAGUUUAAUUUGUUUUUUUUUUUAAUUUUCGAUUUAAUUAUUUGCCUCCUAUUACCUUACGCUUGGUAAGGGUGUUGAUAUCGGAUCUCUUCAUUUGUUUCUUAAUUUAAGUUUUAUUUUUAAUGGGUUAAACAGGGUUUGAGUUAUAAUUAUUUGCGUCCUAUUACCUUACUCUUACUUAUUUGGCGUGUGGUGUUAUAGGAAACAAGGUCUGAGAGAAAUAUGUAGUAAUUUCGAAAGGAAGAUGGUGCAUGCAUCUUAAUUCUAAGAAGAGGAGAUUUGAAUAUGUAAAGUGCAUGUCUCCAAUUGCUCCGCUCUCUCAGUGCUUGGGUAUUAUAAAAAGCUUUCCGCUUUCAGAUUUAAGGUUUGAUUAUGUCUUAUAGUUAAUUGUCAUGCCCAUGACGAGGUGUACAUUUUUUUUCCAUUACACUUAUGUGUUCUAUCAAUUAAAGUCCAGACCAACUACUAAUCUCCUAAGUUCUUUGAAUUCCUGUUUGCUAAAGGUUGUAGGAAAUUGCCUAUUUUGAGAUAUUCUUUGAAUUCCUGUUCGUUUUAGCCCGACCCAUAGUUUUAUUGGUAUCUUGGACGUGCAUGUAAAACCAAGCUGAAUAUUUCUUACCAAUGGUAUUACUAUUUGAUUUUAUUUUGUAA